rnacentral:tRNA from 1 species
GGAAGGUUCCGUUUGUCGGUAUGACGGGUUGAGCUGUAAACUCAAUAGCUAUUGCUGUCGAAGGUUCAAGUCCUUUUCUUCCU